CCGUCAGGUCAACACACGAGGUAAUACUACCUGCACGUGGUAUUUGACACAUGGACACACACAAUCUUGUACUAGUAGUACAUCGCUCAACUUCUUUCGUUAUUUUCCUCCCUUUUUCUCCCCUAAGAACACAUUUUCGUCCCCCCCCCCCUCCGUUGUUUUGGACUUCCAAAAGGCAAAAAAAAGAAGAAGAAGAAAAUAAGAGAGGACUUCUUGAUGUACGAUAUCAUUGCAACUUACGAUCUAGGAGCAAGAGUAUUAAUGGUCUAUUUAGAUGCACCAACUAAAUUUUAGCGGCUUGAUAUCCAAAUAUCCUUUAAUCUCAAAAAAAAAAUCCAAAUAUCCCACCUAAAAAGACCAGCUAAUGUUUAGCUAUUUUCAUCUAGCUAAAAUUUAGCUUAAGCAUCCAAACACCUC
rnacentral:lncRNA from 1 species